CCUACGGGAGGCAGCAGUGGGGAAUAUUGCACAAUGGGGGAAACCCUGAUGCAGCGACGCCGCGUGAGUGAAGAAGUAUUUCGGUAUGUAAAGCUCUAUCAGCAGGGAAGAAAAUGACGGUACCUGAUUAAGAAGCCCCGGCUAACUACGUGCCAGCAGCCGCGGUCAUACGUAGGGGGCAAGCGUUAUCCGGAUUUACUGGGUGUAAAGGGAGUGUAGACGGCAGAACAAGUCUGGCGUGAAAUGCCGGGGCUUAACCCCGGAACUGCAUUGGAAACUGUGCAGCUAGAGUGCAGGAGAGGUAAGUGGAAUGCCAGGUGUAGCGGUGAAAUGCGUAGAUAUUAGGAGGAACACCAGUGGCGAAGGCGGCUUACUGGACUGUAACUGACGUUGAGGCUCGAAAGCGUGGGGAGCAAACAGGAUUAGAUACCCCGGUAGUC
rnacentral:rRNA from 1 species